ACACUACAUGGCUUGUAGUGCAGCCAAAAUAAGCAAUUUGUAGCAAAAUGUGUUAUCAGUUAAGAUUGGAAGCUUUGGAUAACAUACUUAUUUCUAUCAUGUGGCUAUUUUUUUUUUUAAUUGAAACUACAGAGCUAUAGCAUACUCCUAUACAUGAGGAUAAGGUCAACUCUGAAGGGAAUGGCUAUUCCUAUCAAUACUAUCAGACAUCCUAGCAAAAACUGUCCUGCCACAGAAAAUGAACACUCAGAAGAAAGGUGUUACAGGCUGAAUUGCGUCCCCACAGAUAUGUUACUGUAUACGAAGACAGAGCCUUUACGAGUUUAACAAAUUCUGAAGUAUGCAGUCGGCACGAGGAAAAUGAGGGAUAUAUUUUGACAGUCUAUACAGAAUUCGAUUUGGGAAGAUGAUUACGGCUUGGAUAUUCAAACUACAGUUAGAUACAGGGUUAUGGCUUUGGGAGAGGACGAACACAGAGAUAAAGUACCAUUCUCUCACCACAUCAUAUCAAAGG